rnacentral:rRNA from 1 species
AGAGUUCCAUCCUGGCUCAGGAUAAACGCUGGCGGCAUGCCUAAUACAUGCAAGUCAAACGGGUGUACUUGUACACCAGUGGCGAACGGGUGAGUAAUAUAUAGGUAACCUGCCCUUAAGACGAGGAUAACCAUUGGAAACGAUGGAUAAUACUGGAUAGUUAAUCGAACCGCAUGAUUUGAUUAUUAAAGACGCUUCAAAGCGUCACUUAAGGAGGGGCCUAUAUCGCAUUAGCUAGUUGGUGAGGUAACGGCCCACCAAGGCGACGAUGCGUAACUGUGCUGAGAGGCAAAACAGUCACAUUGGAACUUAGACACGGUCCAAACUCCUACGGGAGGCAGCAGUAGGGAAUUUUCGGCAAUGGGGGAAACCCUGACCGAGCAAUGCCGCGUGAACGAAGAAGAUCUUCGGAUUGUAAAAUUCUGUUAUUGGGGAAGAACUUAUCUACUAGGAAAUGAGUAGAUAUUGACGGUACCUGAUUAGAAAGCCCCGGCUAACUAUGUGCCAGCAGCCGCGGUAAUACAUAGGGGGCAAGCGUUAUCCGGAAUUAUUGGGCGUAAAGCGUGCGUAGGCGGUUUAUUAAGUCUGUCGUAAAAUCCCGUAGCUUAACUACGGCUGGCGAUGGAAACUGGUAAACUAGAGUACGGUAGGGGUAAGUGGAAUUCCAAGUGGAGCGGUGGAAUGCGUAGAGAUUUGGAGGAACACCAGUGGCGAAGGCGGCUUACUGGGCCGUUACUGACGCUGAGGCACGAAAGCGUGGGGAGCAAACAGGAUUAGAUACCCUGGUAGUCCACGCCGUAAACGUUGAGCACUAAGUUCUUGGAGUAAAAUCUGGGAGCUGCAGUUAACACAUUAAGUGCUCCGCCUGGGGAGUACGGUCGCAAGACUGAAACUCAAAGGAAUUGACGGGGACUCGCACAAGCGGUGGAGCAUGCGGUUUAAUUCGAUGCAACGCGAAGAACCUUACCAGGUCUUGACAUCUGAUUGCCAGGACUAGAGAUAGUCCCUUUCUUCGGAACAAUCAAGACAGGUGGUGCAUGGUUGUCGUCAGCUCGUGUCGUGAGAUGUUGGGUUAAGUCCCGCAACGAGCGCAACCCUUAUCACUAGUUGCCAUCAUUUAGUUGGGCACUCUAGUGAGACCGCCGGUGACAAACCGGAUGAAGGUGGGGAUGACGUCAAAUCAUCAUGCCCCUUAUGACCUGGGCUACACGCGUGCUACAAUGGCUGGUACAAAGAGUCGCAAAGCUGUGAAGCCAAGCUAAUCUCGUAAAGCCAGUCUCAGUUCGGAUUGUAGUCUGCAACUCGACUACAUGAAGUUGGAAUCGCUAGUAAUCGUGAAUCAGAAUGUCACGGUGAAUACGUUCUCGAGUCUUGCACACACCGCCGGUCAA